rnacentral:rRNA from 1 species
ACACAUGCAGUCGAGCGAGAAACUCCUUCGGGAGUGAGUAAAGCGGCGAACGGGUGCGUAACACGUAGGUAACCUGCCCCGAAGAUCGGGACAACCUGCCGAAAGGUGGGCUAAUACCGGAUAAGACCACGACUCCCACGGGUGUUGCGGUCAAAGGUGGCCUCUCCAUGGAAGCUAUCACUUUGGGAUGGGCCUGCGCGUCAUUAGCUUGUUGGUGAGGUAACGGCUCACCAAGGCUACGAUGACUAGCUGAUCUGAGAGGAUGAUCAGCCACACUGGAACUGAAACACGGUCCAGACUCCUACGGGAGGCAGCAGUGGGGAAUAUUGCGCAAUGGGGGAAACCCUGACGCAACAACGCCGCGUGAGUGACGAAGGCUCUCGGGUUGUAAAACUCUGUCGAGAGGGACGAAUCCAACCGGACCCAAUACGUCCGGAUGCUGACGGUACCUCUAAAGGAAGCACCGGCUAACUCCGUGCCAGCAGCCGCGGUAAUACGGAGGGUGCAAGCGUUGUUCGGAAUUACUGGGCGUAAAGAGCGUGUAGGCGGUAUUUUAUGUCGGGUGUGAAAGCCCUGGGCCCAACCCAGGAAGUGCGCCCGAAACUGAUUUACUUGAGUACGAUAGAGGAGGACGGAAUUCCCAGUGUAGAGGUGAAAUUCGUAGAUAUUGGGAAGAACACCGGUGCGAAAGCGGUUCUCUGGAUCGAUACUGACGCUAGACGCGAAAGCGUGGGGAGCAAACAGGAUUAGAUACCCUGGUAGUCCACGCCGU